CUUAUAAACCUAUAUAUGAUAUAGUUAAAUUAUAUGUAUCUACAUCAAUAUGCGUACAGUAUACAUCAAUAUAUAUGUAUACUAUCCCAGAUGUUGUACCGCCUCUGCUCUCAUGUUGAUUGUCAAUGCUAACAAAAAGAUUUCUCGAUUAUGACAUAAAUCAUUGUGAACUUGGAAAUAAAACUUAACGUGUAUAAUAAUGGAAUUAGAAAAUGGAUAGAAUAAAAAUUUAAACAUGUAUUAUCUUCUACUAUUAGUACUAACGGAGAUUAUCUCUGCAUCAUUAAUAGGUAUUUCCGACGAUGACACAAAUAUUGGUAAAUAUGAUAUGCUUCUUACGACCAUCUUUAUUAGUUCAUAUUUACUGGAUCUUUUUGUCUUUAUCACAUAUUAAUCGCAUAUUAUGAUAUGAAAAUGACUUGGAUUGCGUAUCUGGCAUCAAAGUACAAUAUCUGAUAAAAAAAUAAAUAAAAGAAUACAAAUUUGUGUAUAUAUACUACAUGUUUUCAAAAAACGCCGUUGACAUUUUCCACAC